UAUCAAGGCCGUGCUGGAAAGGCUCAGUGACGACUCAGACACGUCAAAUAUCUUCCCUCAGAGGCACUGACAGGCUUCUACAGUGGUAGGGCUGAAGCGACACAUCCUGGCGGGGGGCACCUUUGACAGCCCAGAGCACACCUCCGCCCCCGCCAGCAACCUCAUCACCCGACUGCUAGUUCAGGACCCAGCGCAGUGGUCCAACCCAGAAGAGAUUGCUGCCACGAGUACCUGGCUAGUGCCCCCCCUGACCUUCAGUGACGACCCCGACCCCAUGGAGGCUCUUCAAGGUGGUGGAGACCCUGUUGCACGUUCAUCUGGUGGUGGAGUUCCCUGGUGGCGGCGGCGGCGAGCUGUUCAACACCAUUACCACUGAGGGACGCAUGACGGAGGCACGGGCAGCGGCAGUCUUCAC